UACAGAGGUCUCAAGCGUUUGUUCGGAUUCAUUGGGCGUAAAGGGUGGUGUAGGUGGCGCGCUAAGUCGGGGUGUGAAAUUUCGGAGCUUAACUCCGAAACUGCAUUCGAUACUGGCGUGCUUGAGGACUGGAGAGGAGACUGGAAAUUCAUGGUGUAGCAGUGAAAUGCGUAGGAGAUCAUGAGGAAGACCAGUGGCGA
rnacentral:rRNA from 1 species